AGUGCUUCCUUCAGGAGCUCUUGUAAGGCGGGCCUGGUGGUGACAAAAUCUCUCGGCAUUUGUUUGUCUGUAAAGGAUUUUAUUUCUCAUUCACUUACGAAGCUAAGUUGGGCUGGAUAUGAAAUUCUGGGUUGAAAAUUCUUUUAAGAAUGUUGAAUAUUGGUCCCCACUCUCUUCUGGCUUGUAGGGUUUCUGUCAAGAGAUCCACUGUUAGUCUGAUGGGCUUCCCUUUUUGGAUAACCCGACCUUUCUCUCUGGCUGCCCUUAACAUUUUUUCCUUCAUUUCAACCUUGGUGAAUCUGACAAUUAUGUGUCUUGGGUUGCUCUUCUCAAGGAGUAUCUUUGUGGUGUUCUCUGUAUUUCCUGAAUUUGAAUGUUGGCCUGUCUUGCUAGAUUGGGGAAGUUCUCCUGAGCAAUAUCCUGAAGAGUAUUUUCCAGCUUGGUUCCAUUCUCCCCGUCACUUUCAGGUACACCAAUCGACGUAGAUUUCGUCUUUUCACAUGGUCCCAUACUUCUUGCAGGCUUUGUUCAUUUCUUUUCAUUCUUUUUUCUCUAAUCUUGUUUUCUUGCUUUAUUUCAUUGAGUUGAUCCUCAAUCACUGGUAUCUUUUCUUCUGCUUGAUAGAUUUGGCUAUUGAUACUUGUAUAUGCUUCAUGAAGUUCUUGUGCUGUGUUUUUCAGCUCCGUCAGGCCAUUUAUGUUCUUCUAUAAACUGGUUAUUCUAGUUAGCAAUUCGUCUAACCUUUUUUCAAGGUUCUUAGCUUCCUUGCAUUGGAUUAGAACAUGCCGCUUUAGCUUGGAAGAGUAUGUUAUUACCCACCUUCUGAAGUCUACUUCUGUCAAUUAGUCAAACUCAUUCUCUGUCCAGUUUUGUUCCUUGCUGGCAAGGAGUUGUGAUCUUUUGGAGGAGAAGAGGCAUUCUUGUUUUUGGAAUUUCAAUCUUUUUGUGCUGGUUUCUCCCCAUCUUUGUAGAUUUAUCUACCUUUGGUUGUUGAUGUUGGUGACAUUCAGGUGGGGUCUCUGAGUGGGCAUCCUUUUUGUUGAUGUUGAUACUAUUCCUUCCUAUUUGUUAGCUUUUUCUAACAAUCAGGCCCCUCUGCUGCAGUGCUGCUGGAGUUUGCUGGAGGUCCAUCCAGACCCUGUUUGCCUGGGUAUCACCAGCAGAGGCUGCAGAACAGCAAAGAUUGCUGCCUAUUCCUUCUUCUGGAAGCUUUGUCCCAGAGGGGCACCUGCCAGAUGCCAGCCAGAGCUCUCCUGUAUGAAGUGUCUGUCGGCUCCUACUGGGAGGUGUCUCCCAGUCAGGAUACACGGGGGGUCAGGGACCCACUUGAGGAGGCAGUCCAUCCCUUAUCAGAGCUGGAACGCUGUGCUGGGAGAUCCGCUGCUCUCUUCGAGCCAGCAGGCAGGGAGGUUUAAGUCUGCCGAAGCUGCACCCACAGCUGCCCCUUACCCCAGGUGCUCUGUCCCAGGGAGAUGGGGGUUUUAUCUAUAAGUCCCUGACUGGGGCUGCUGCCUUUUUUUCAGAGAUGCCCGGCCCAGAGAGGAGGAAUCUAGAGAGGCAGUCUGGCCACAGCAGCCUUGCUGAGCUGCGGUGGGCUCUGCCCAGUUCAAACUUCCCAGUGGCUUUGUUUCAUGAAAAUCUCUUGAACCUGGGAUGUGGAGGUUACAGUGAGCUAAGAUUGUGCCACUGCACUAUACCUGGGCAACAGCACAAGACACUCUUUCAAAAAAAAAAAAA
rnacentral:lncRNA from 1 species